ensembl:lncRNA
CCUCUCUUCCAGGGCAUGUGUAGCAUGUACAUAUCUCUGAUAGGGUUUCAUGUAAAUUUGUCUCCUAGCUCUCUUGAUUAAAGAUGGAUAUCAGUGGGUUGGCAAAAACACUCCUGCCCCUGAGCACUCAGGCACACACACACACACACACACACACACACACACACACACACACACACACACACACACACACACACACACACCCUGACCCAGAGUAGCAACAAUGAUGACUGCAUCUGUGUACGAUCGUGUAAGUGGUUUGCACCAGAGGCCCACCCAGCACAUAACCCUUAUAGGUAUCAUGCAAUUUUUAAUUCACUAAAAAAAACACCUGAGACUGUCUCUCUGUCUCUCCAUAUGAAGAACAGAUAGCAUUUGCACUAGAGAUAGAGACCAGCACAGCACACAACCUUAUAGCUAUAGCUACAGUACUGAAGCCACAACUAGAACAAAUCCUCUAUGACGGUCUCCUUCUCUCUCUCUCUCUCUCUCUCUGCCUAAUUAUGAUUAUGAAGCACGUUGAAGUUAGCCAGCUAAACUAUAUCAUACAUCACCCAAUUUAGCUGCUUAGUUACAGGACAAAGAUACGAACAAUGAGUGGGUGAGUUGGCUUUGGAGCUCGAUUCUCUUUUAGUCUAAUUGGAUGUUUUCUAGAAGCUCUAUACAUAUAUCUCUGUCAGGGCAAAUGUUGUGUUGGACUCCAGAAUCUCUGUGGUUUCCUUCAGGUCCUAAUUUGGACCUCUUUCUCCAGAUUAAAUGUGUGUGUUUUUUCAGUUGAUCUCCCUCUCUCUUUCUCUGUUUCUAAUUUUGUCUUCUCUUUCUUUCUUUCUCCCUCUGUCUCCCCUUCAUUUGUGUCCCUCAUUGUUGUGAAUAGUGUGGUAAUUAAACAUGUGCCUCCUCCUUCAGUUGAUCUGUCUUUCUCUAAGAGCUCAGAAACACACCAAUAGCGUUUUCUGGCCGAGACUACUGAGCACCUCUGAACCUAACCGAGUGAGCACUGAUUUUACAUGUAGAAUCCCUUGAACAUUGUGUCUACAGAUGGUGGUCCCUAAAACACAGAGGUGCUGAAAGAUCGGCAGAUAAACGUUAGAUCCACAUUCGGUGCCAGCUUUUACUGUUGCUCUCUCUCUCUCUCUCUCUCUCUCUCUCUCUCUCUCUCUCUCUCUCUCUCUCUCUCUCUACCGCUCACUUUCUUUCUCCCUCUGUUCUCUUUCACCUCUCUCUCUUUCUUUCUCUGCCCCUCUCGUUCUCUCUUCCUCUAUUCUGAACUCUUUCUCUCUCUCUUUCCCUCUCUCUCCAACCUCUUUUUCUGUUCCACUCUCUCUCCUCCCCUCUUCAUUUGGAUCCCUCAUGGGAGUGACAGAGAUGAAACGUGUGCCUCCUCUAGUUAAUCAAUAGACUGCAGUCUGAGAAAGCUGCGCCCUUUAGUCUCUCGGUAGACUGUCAGCAUCGUUUGAGCAUAACCAUCUAGGGCUAAGUGUGGUGAGCUGUACGGAACUGGUUUAAAGUGGUUUGGUGAACCCGCUCCCAAGAAGACUAGUGUUUUGGUGAACCCACUCCCUUAGCAUCUAGGCUUUAGCUUAGCAAGUUAAUGCAGACUUUUGUUUAAACCUUGAAAUAUAAUUACUGUAUUUCUAUCUGGACUGAUCGAUUAUACCGAUUAUACAGAUUAUACAGAUUAUACAGAUUAGACCAAUUAUACCGAUUAUACAGAUUAUACAGAUUAUACAGAUUAUACAGAUUAGACCAAUUAUACAGAUUAUACAGAUUAUACAGAUUAGACCAAUUAUACAGAUUAUACCGAUUAGACCAAUUAUACAGAUUAUACCAAUUAUACAGAUUAUACCGAUUAGACCAAUUAUACAGAUUAUACCGAUUAGACCAAUUAUACAGAUUAUACCGAUUAGACCAAUUAUACCGAUUAGACCAAUUAUACCGAUUAGACCGAUUAUACAGAUUAUACAGAUUAUACAGAUUAUACAGAUUAUACAGAUUAGACCGAUUAUACAGAUUAUACCGAUUAGACCGAUUAUACAGAUUAGACCGAUUAUACAGAUUAGACCGAUGUUUACACAAAAACAGUGUAGAGAAAAUAGUGGUCAUGUAAUGGGAGUCCCUGAAGCGGCUCUGAAGUGGAAGUUUGGAUUUUUUUUCUCGUCCAGCCAUCAAAGGCCGUCAUUAUCCCCACAGGCCUGGGUGGCAGACUGAACGGCUCUCUGGCUCUCAUUUCAGGUGUGGCUCUCUGUUCCUCCACUAGAAACCAUGGGGUGGGGGAGGCAGGACCACUGACUCUACACACUGACUGAAUACUGAUGAAGCUGGGGAGGCCGAGUAUGUACGCAUACACAGACACACACACACAGGCACGUAGGCAGACACAGUUCUUAUGUGACCAGCUCUUGCCCAAAGCAAACCUCUUCACUAGCCAAAUAUUAUAUUUCACUCAGUGAAAACGAGAAAACCCUGUCAGUAUCGUAACAUUCUCACAGUAGAGGCAACUAGCUAAAUGUGUGUGUGUGUGUGUGUGUGUGUGUGUGUGUGUGCGUGCGUGCGUGCGUGUGUGUGUGGUGUCAGUAUGUACCUUGCCAGCACCAUAAAAGUCUCCCAGUGCAACGACAGCUAGCUAGAGACAACACUAGAAUUACAAAACACUUUGAGGGACUGCUGCAGACCGGGGGGGUUGGAGGGGCGUGUAGAGUUUACAGUGAAUGUAUCUUUAAUGCCAUAUACCUACCAUUACUGUUUAUCUACUCACAGCAGACACAAGACAGACCAAACUGAUCGUGUUUACGGUUUCUGACAUUCAGUUGCCAUGCAGCAAGUGUCAAAAUCAACUGCCUGAAAGUGAAAUCUAACCACUUCUGUUUAGGGAAGAGGAAGAGGAGGAGGAUGAGGAGGAGGAGGAUGCGGAGGAUGAGGAGGAGGAGGAUGAGGAGGAGGAGGAGGAUGAGGAGGAGGAGGAAGCUGAGGAGGAUGAAGAGGCUGAGGAGGAGGAUGAGGAGGAGGAAGGGGAGGGAUGCCAUAUUAUCAUAAAUUAGGAUUGGCAUUCAUGACAGUCACUUAAAAGAUAAUCAAGCAAAUAAAAAAAACUGCUUCAGGUGUUCUCAAAGACUGGAAUGACUCAGAGAUAAUCCACUUGCAGAAUAUUUAUUUAUUUACUUGUUUAUUUAUCCCCCACCACAAAUCAAGAGCGUUUGACUUGUUUAUGUUACUUAGAAGAGGCAUAAUGAUGUCAGAACCCAAACAAGGCAAGUAAAUACGAUGAAGAGGAAGUACUGUGUGUGUGUGUGUGUGUGUGCGUGUGUGUGUGUGUGCGUGUGUGUGCGUGUGUGUGCGUGUGUGUAUGUUUAUAGCAUGGUGUAAUAUGCUCUUCCCUUUACUCUCGUCACUUCCUGUCACUUCCUGUUAAAUGCGGAACGAGGGACAGCUCGGUUUGCUGUUUUGGAGAGUUUGCUGUUUUAAAAGUGUAUUGGAAAGUUUCUUUGUAGCUAGAAAACCUUUUAGUUUGGAUCCCGCGACGCAUUUGGCAUCUGUUGCUAGGUCUGCUACUCUCUGUCCAGUGAUCCUGCCGACCAAGGCUGGGUCUGAGGAGUUAUUUGGCCUAGCAGCUAACCUAGUCAUUGAGAGAGGACAUCAGUUCUAUGUGUGAUUUUUGUAAAGUCAGUGUGGGAGAGAUGGAAAAAUGAUUGUUAUCGAUCAAUAAUGACAAACCUCCUGGCAUUGACAACGUAGAUGGAAAGCUACUGAGGAUGAUAGCUGACUCUAUAGCCACUCCUAUCGGUCAUAUCUUUAAUCUGAGUCUAGGGGAAAGUAUUUGUCCUCAGGCCUGGAGGGAAGCCUAAGUCAUUCCGUAAAAGUACAAUUGUGUUGCUAUUUUUCUGUAAACAAAUUAACAACAGACUUUAAGCAUGCCUAUAUAGAAGGGCACUCAACAUGUACUGCACUGACACAAAUGACUGAUGAUUGGUUGAAAGAACUUGAUAAUAAGAAGAUUGUGGGAGCUGUAGUGUUAGAUUUCAGUGCAGCCUUUGAUAUUAUUAACCAUAACAUGUUGUUGAAAAAAAUGUACAUGUUUUGGCUUUUCAGCCUCUGCCAUAUCGUGGAUUCAGAGCUAUCUAUCUAAUAGAACGCAAAGGUGUUUCUUUAAAUGGAUGCUUCUCUAAUGUCAAAUGUAAAGUGCGGUGUACCGCAGUGCAGCUCUCUAGGCCCUCUACUCUUUUAUAUUUUUACCAAUGACCUGCCACUGACAUUAAAGAAAGUCUGUGUGUCCAUGUAUGCUGAUGAUUCAACCAUAUAUACGAAUCAGCAACCACGGCUAAGUCACCGAAACACUUAACAAAGAAUUGCAGUCUGUUUUGGAAUGGGUGGCCAGUAAUAAACUGGUCCUGAACAUCUCUAAAACUAAGAGCAUUGUAUUUGGUACAAAUCAUUCCCUAAGUUCUAGACCUCAGCUGAAUCUGGUAAUGAAUGGUGUGUCUGUUGAACAAGUUGAGGAGACUAAAUGACUUGGCUUUACCUUAGAUUGUAAACUGUCAUGGUCAAAACAUAUAGAUUCAAUGGUUGUAAAGAUGGGGAGAGGUCUGUCCGUAAUACAGAGAUGCUCUGCUUUUCUGACACCACACUCCACAAAGCAAGUCCUGCAAGCAUAUGGCUCAAGUGAACAGCAAACCUGGUUUAAAAAAACAGAUAAACUAACACCCCACGGCACACCACCUCUCCCCUGUUUGACCUAGAUAGUUUGUGUGUAUGUAUUGAUAUGUAGGCAGCGUGUGCCUUUUUAAAAUUAAUUUAUGUAGUUCUGUCCUUGGGCUGUUCUUGUCUAUUUUAAUGUUCUGUAUGAUUUCAUGUUUCCUGUUCUGUGUUGGACCCCCAGGAAGAUUAGCUGCUGAUUUUGCAACAGCUAAUGGAGAUCCUAAUAAAAUAGCAUCAUGGUAUCCAGUUCCAGUGCCCAUAUACUGUACAUUAUCACACAGUAUACUGUACAUUAUCACACAGUAUACUGUACAUUAUCACACAUUAUACUGUACAUUAUCACACAUUAUACUUUACAUGAUCACACAGUAUACUGUACAUUAUCACACAUUAUACUGUACAUUAUCGCACAGUAUACUGUACAUUAUCACACAGUAUACUGUACAUUAUGACAGUCAUAACAUAACAGAGAAUAAGACACAUUAUACUGUACAUUAUCACACAGUAUACUGUACAUUAUCACACAGUAUACUGUACAUUAUCACACAGUAUACUGUACAUUAUGACAGUCAUAACAUAACAGAGAAUAAGACACAUUAUACUGUACAUUAUGACACAUUAUACAUUACAUACAUAUGUUAGUUCUCUAAUACUUUAGAAAGUUGCUGACCACUGCCAUGUGGUGCUGAACGUCGAGCUCUGAUUCGCUGUCCGCUUCAGCGGUGCUGAAUGUUGAGCUCUGAUUCGCUGUCCUCUUCAGCGGUGCUGAUUUUUAUUUUUACCUUUAUUUAACUAGGCUGGUCAGUUAAGAACAAAUUCUUAUUUUCAAUGACGGCCUAGGAACAGUGGGUUUAACUGCCUGUUCAGGGGCAGAACGACAGAUUUGUACCUUGUCAGCUCGGAGGUUUGAACUUGCAACCUUCCGGGUUACUAGUCCAACGCUCUAACCACAAGGCUACCCUGCCGCCCCUACACUCUAACCACUAGGCUACCCUGCCGCCUCUACACUCUAACCACUAGACUACCCUGCUGCCUCUACACUCUAACCACUAGGCUACCCUGCCGCCUCUACACUCUAACCACUAGGCUACCCUGCCGCCUCUACACUCUAACCACUAGGCUACCCUGCCGCCUCUACACUCUAACCACUAGACUACCCUGCCGCCUCUACACUCUAACCACUAGACUACCCUGCCGCCUCUACACUCUAACCACUAGGCUACCCUGCAGCCCCUACACUCUAACCACUAGACUACCCUGCCGCCUCUACACUCUAACCACUAGGCUACCCUGCCGCCUCUACACUCUAACCACUAGGCUACCCUGCCGCCUCUACACUCUAACCACUAGGCUACCCUGCUGCCUCUACACUCUAACCACUAGACUACCCUGCCGCCUCUACACUCUAACCACUAGACUACCCUGCCGCCUCUACACUCUAACCACUAGGCUACACUGCCGCUGAACGUUGAGCUCUGAUUCGCUGUCCGCUUUAGCGGCGCUGAAUCUCUGAACACCAGACUGAUUUUACCUAAAGCAAAAGUAGACCUUUUCCUCGUCUGAUGAAGUCCCCACAAUGUAUUCAAUAUAAAGCAUUUGCCCCUUGUCCAUCUGUUCAAUAGUGUAGGUGUAGAACACAACCAGCUGACUCACUAAACAGGAACAAGGAACAAGGAACAAGGCUCUAUCUCAAAUAAUCUUUCCUUGAUUCAUCGUAUCCUAUUUCCUUCCUAGCCUCCUCCUCAACCAUAGUGGUUGGACAUCAUCCACCUCCUGUAAUGACAUCAUCCACCUCCUGUGAUGACAUCAUCCAUGUGAGCCCAGAGCCUCAUCCCCCAGCUGCCAUAAAGUUGAAUAAAGCCUAAAUAAAAUAGAGUUUUCACACAACGGUGUUCAUUUGCAUAAAGCCAUGCUUGGUUUUCACUGACCUCCCUUCUCUCUCUCUUUGUCCCCCCACUCUCUCCAUCUCAGUCAAAAGCUCAAUCUCUCUCUCCUUCUCAGUCUCUCUCUCUCUGUUUCUCUCCCUCUCUCCUUCUCAGUCUCUCUCUCUCUGUUUCUCUCCCUCUCUCCUUCUUCAUCUCUCUCUCUGUUUCUCUCUCUCUCUCCUUCUCAGUCUCUCUCUCUGUUUCUCUCUCUCUCUCCUUCUCUGUCUCUCUCUCUCUGUUUCUCUCCCUCUCUCCUUCUCAGUCUCUCUCUCUCUGUUUCUCUCCCUCUCUCCUUCUCAGUCUCUCUCUCUCUGUUUCUCUCCCUCUCUCCUUCUCAGUCUCUCUCUCUGUUUCUCUCCCUCUCUCCUUCUUAGUCGCUCUCUCUCUGUUUCUCUCCCUCUCUCCUUCUCAGUCUCUCUCUCUCUGUUUCUCUCCCUCUCUCCUUCUUCGUCUCUCUCUCUGUUUCUCUCUCUCCUUCUCAGUCUCUCUCUCUGUUUCUCUCUCUCUCUCCUUCUUAGUCUCUCUCUCUCUGUUUCUCUCUCUCUCUGUUUCUUAGUCUCUCUCUCGCUCCCUGUCUUGUUCUCAGUCUGGGUAAUAGUGUCGUUAUAGUAGACAGGGGAGACCGGAGCGGAACUCAUUCACAGCUCUCUGAUGUCAUUAGAAAAUCAAUUCCCAACAAAUGACUUUUUUUGAAUUUCACAGCAGAGGUGUGACCCACAUUUGUCACAGUGCCGUCGACUGAUUUUCUCUCUCCCUCUGUCUCUCUCUCUCUCUCUCUCUCUCUCACUCUCUCUCUCUCUCUCUCUCUCUCACUCUCCCUCUCUCUCUCUCUCUCUCUCUCUCUCUCUCUCUCUCCCUCUCUCUCUCUCUCUCUCUCUCUCUCUCCCCUCCCUCCCUCUGUCUCUCUCCCUCCCUCUGUCUCUCUCCCUCUUUCUCUCUCUCUCUCACUCUCUCCCUCUCUCUCUCUCUCUCACUCUCUCCCCUGCCAAUCUCUGUCAGCAGCUUCCAUUGAUUGCUCCUCUUCUAUUUUGUCACCUGGCUUUUCAGCACGUCGACUGGUGUCUGGCCAGCUUGAUGGUCACUGACUGGUGUCUGGCCAGCCUGAUGGUCACUGACGGGUGUCUGGCCAGCUUGAUGGUCACUGACUGGUGUCUGGCCAGCUUGAUGGUCACUGACUGGUGUCUGGCCAGCUUGAUGGUCACUGACUGGUGUCUGGCCAGCCUGAUGGUCACUGACGGGUGUCUGGCCAGCAUGAUGCUCACUGUGAGGUCACUCUGUGCAUCCCAAAUGGCACCCUAUUCCCCAUGUAGUGCACUACUUCUGACUGGGGUCCAUAGACCUCGGGUCAAAAGUAGUGCACUAUAUAGGGAAUAGGGUGCCAUUUGCAACCCCUCCAUUUGGGAUGUGAACAUUGACGUUGAGCGUCCCAUGGUGACUCUGCUGUGCUGUACAGUAGCAGCUGGAUAGUUUCAUCCAGUACUAGACUGGGACCUGUCUCUGUGCCAACACCAAACAUUACCAUGGUAACAAGAUAAGCACUAUAACAACAGUGACAUUGUUGGUACCCUUUCUGCUGAGACUGUAUAGGAAGAUGGAGUGAGAGAGAGUGUGUUUACCAGUAUUCAGCCUUUGGACAAAGAACUGUUACAGUACAUUUAUCCCUGUGUUGUUUUUGACGACUACACAGUUUACUGCUGUUGCCACAAUACUUCACACACAAAUGGGCUUGAGAUGAUUUGUUGCCUUUUUUUAUUACUAAUAAUCAAUAUCCUAUAGUCCCAUCAUGCACCCAUAUAUGUUAUGAUUUUCUGACACAUUCUAAGGUUUGUAUCAUCCACAACUAAAGUUGCCAAAUAACUCUAAAUCUAGUAUAUUGGACCUGUUUCAAAUGAUCACCUUUAAGCUCAACAUAACCCCGUAGUAUGUGCACUUGCUCCAGAAUGGGAAACAUUUCCUUUUGAUUCUAUUCUUAUCAUACAAUAUUAAAAUAAUGGCACAGAUAUCUAAGCAUAUCUUGUCUGCUCAAUGAACUACAGCCUCGGCUGCCAUUGGCAUGGUGCAUAGCCAGAUAACCUACAGUAGGCCGACUGAUAUUCUGAAAUACAUUUUCUUCAUAUCAAGAUGUAGCUUUAGACCUGCCUAAAAUAAAUAAUGGAUUUAUUGUGAUGGUCUAUAUUAAUUAGACUCAGCAGUUUGUAUACUUGGAGACCUGGAAAUAACAAACUUGUUUAUUUUAAUUAACGGUCAAUUACCGUGAGACCGGCAGUCAUUUGCAUGACAAUAAAAGGGCUGACAAAACGUAAUGACUGCCACAACCCUAGGUGAAGCCACUUAUUUAAAGGGGAAGCCACAACCCUAGGUGAAGCCACUUAUUUAAAGGGGAAGCCACAACCCUAGUUGAAGCCACUUAUUUAAAGGGGAAGCCACAACCCUAGGUGAAGCCACUUAUUUAAAGGGGAAGCCACAACCCUAGGUGAAGCCACUUAUUUAAAGGGGAAGCCGCCUAUUCAUAAAUCUGCCACGACAUCCAUUUCCAAUUUGCUGCUCCAGUAACCACGGUAGCCACAGCCCUACGGCGGGUUGAUACAGCAACAGAGCAUGGGGACCCCCGGUAACCGCAGGAAACACCUCACAAAGUAGUGACAUCAUCGCAUGAAAUAUUAUGGCAUGUAGGUAAUGCAUGGGUAACAGUGAUGCUGUACUAAGAGAAAUGCUCUGAGCAUAGAGAGAGAGAGGGAGAGAGAGAGAGGGCUGGUUAGAGAGAGAGAGAGAGAGGGAGAGGGAGAGAGAGAGAGGGCUGGUUAGAGAGAGAGAGAGAGAGAGAGAGAGAGAGAGAGAGAGAGAGGGGGGGAUACUGUGCUAAGGGAAACAGGGCCUCAUAUCUAAGCUUAGGUGGGGGUAGGGCCUCUGGUCUGAC